AACGUAGGAGGCGAGCGUUAUCCGGAUUCACUGGGCGUAAAGCGCGCGUAGGCGGUCGGUCAAGUCAGAUGUUAAAGCCCCUGGCUCAACUAGGGGAGGUCAUUUGAUACUGUCCGGCUUGAGGGUGAGAGAGGAGAGUGGAAUUCCCGGUGUAGCGGUGGAAUGCGUAGAGAUCGGGAGGAACACCAGUGGCGAAGGCGGCUCUCUGGCUCAUUCCUGACGCUGAGUGCGCGAAAGCGUGGGGAGCAAACGGG
rnacentral:rRNA from 1 species